UUUUCAAAAACUAUUUAUUUAUCUUAAUUUCUACAUAUAAUUAAAUCAAAAUUUGAAAUUAAAUAUUGUAAGCAAAUAAUAAAAUCUAAAAAAAAAAAUAUAAUUUAAAUUUUAAAACUUUUAUACGUGGGUAUAUCAGUACAAGAAUGAUUCUAAAAAAAUGACAUUUUCUAAACUAGUAGGUAAAGUUUUAGGUUUUUUGGAUCCAUCCUAUCUCAAAUUGGGUUAGGCCCAAAAUAUGUAAAGUCCAAAUGAACUCAGUUUGAAAGACCUAUUUUUGGACU
rnacentral:lncRNA from 1 species